rnacentral:rRNA from 1 species
CUAGGGUGGCUGCAGUGGGGAAUAUUGGACAAUGGGCGAAAGCCUGAUCCAGCCAUGCCGCGUGUGUGAAGAAGGCCUUCGGGUUGUAAAGCACUUUCAGUGGGGAAGAAAGCCUUGGGGCUAAUACCCUCGAGGAAGGACAUCACCCACAGAAGAAGCACCGGCUAACUCCGUGCCAGCAGCCGCGGUAAUACGGAGGGUGCGAGCGUUAAUCGGAAUUACUGGGCGUAAAGCGCGCGUAGGCGGUCUGAUAAGCCGGUUGUGAAAGCCCCGGGCUCAACCUGGGAACGGCAUCCGGAACUGUCAGGCUAGAGUGCAGGAGAGGAAGGUAGAAUUCCCGGUGUAGCGGUGAAAUGCGUAGAGAUCGGGAGGAAUACCAGUGGCGAAGGCGGCCUUCUGGACUGACACUGACGCUGAGGUGCGAAAGCGUGGGUAGCAAACAGGAUUAGAUACCCUUGUAGUC